AUGACCUGGCCGCUGAGGUUCGACGGGUGGGUGGUCCUGGUCACCGGCGCGCGGGGAAGAAUUGAACCAAGCCUAUGCCCUGGCAUUUUCAGAAAGAGGAGCAUCAGUUGUUGUGAAUGAUUUAGGAGGGGAUUUCAAGGGUGUUGGUAAAAGCUCCUUUGUUGCUGAUAAGGGUGUUGAAGAAAUAAGAAGGAAAGGUGGAAAAGCGGUGGACAACUUUGAUUCCGUGGAAGAGGGAGAGAAGGUUAUGAAGACAGCACUGGAUGCUUUUGGAAAAAUAGAUGUUGUGGUCAACAAUGCUGGAAUUCUGAGGGACCGUUCCUUUGCUAGAAUAAGUGAUGAAGAUUGAGAUAUAAUCCACCGAGUUCAUUUGCGAGGCUCAUUACAAGUGAUCCGAGCAGCAUGGGAACACAUGAAGAAGCAGAAAUCUGGAAGGAUAAUUAUGACUUCAUCAGCUUCAGGAAUAUAUGGCAAUUUUGGCCAGGCAAAUUAUAGUGCUGCGAAACUGGAUCUUGUAGACCUUGCAAAUUCUCUUGCAAUUGAAGGAAAGAAAAGCAACAUUUAUUGUAACACUGUUGUCCUAGUGCUGGAUCACGGAUGACUCAGACUGUUAUACCUCAAGAUCUUGUGGAAGCCCUGAAGUCAGAAUAUGUGGCACCCCUCGUCCUUUGGCUUUGCCACGAGAGUUGUAAGGAAAAUGGUAGCUUGUUUGAGGUUGGAGCAGACUGGAUUGGAAAAUUAUGCUGGGAUCGGACCCUUGGAGACAUUGUAAGACAGAAGAAUCAGCCAAUGACUCCUGAGGCAAUAAAGGUUAACUGGAAGAAGAUCUGUGACUUUGAGAAUGCCAGCAAAUCUCAAAGUAUCCAAGAAUCCACUGGCGGUAUAAUUGAAGUUCUAAGUAAAAUAGAUUCAGAAGGAGGAAUUUCAACAAAUCACACCAGUCAUGCAGCAACUACAGCAACAUCAGGAUUUGCUGGAGCUAUUGGCUAUAAGCUCCCUCCAUUUUCUUCUGCUUAUACGAAACUGGAAGCUAUUAUGUAUGCCCUGGGAGUGGGAGCAUCAAUUAUGGAUCCAAAAGAUUUGAAAUUUAUUUAUGAAGGAAGUUCAGAUUUCUCCUGUUUGCCUACCUUUGGAGUUAUCCCAGGUCAAAAAUCUAUGAUGAAUGGAGGAUUAGGAGAAAUUCCUGGGCUUUCAAUCAACUUCGCAAAGGUUCUUCAUGAGAAGCAAUACUUGGAGUUGUAUAAAUCUCUUCCCAGAGCAGGAGAAUUAAAAUGUGAAGCAGUUGUUGCUGAUGUCCUAGAUAAAGGAUCUGGUGUUGUGAUUCUUAUGGAUGUCUAUUAUUCUGGGAAGGAGCUUAUAUGCUAUAAUCAGUUCUCUAACUUUCUUGUUGGCUCUGGAGGCUUUGGUGGAAAACGGACAUCAGACAAAGCCAAGGUAGCUGUAGCCAUACCUAAUAGAUCUGAUGCUGUACUUACAGAUACCACCUCACUUAAUCAGGCUGCUUUGUAUCGCCUUAGUGGAGACUGGAAUCCCUUACACAUUGAUCCUAACUUUGCUAAGCCCAUAUUACAUUUGACAAGCCAAUAUUACAUGGAUUAUGUACAUUUGGAUUUUCUGCCAGGCAUGUCUUAUGGUAGUUUGCAGAUAAUGAUGUGUCAAGAUUCAAGGCAAUUAAGGUUCGUUUUGCAAAACCAGUGUAUCCUGGACAAACUCUACAAACUGAGAUGUGGAAGGAAGGAAAUAUAAUUCAUUUUCAAAUCAAGGUUCAAGAAACUGGAGACAUCAUCAUUUCAAAUGCAUAUGUGAUCUUGUGGGAACAUCUGAUAUUUCAGCUAAGACCCUUUCUGAAGGUGGGGAAAUAGGUCGCCGCCUUAAGGAUGUUGGGCAUGAAGUGGUGAAGAAAGUAAAUGCUGUCUUUGAGUGGCAUAUCACUAAUCGUGGAAAUGUUGCAGCUAAGUGGACUAUUGACCUGAAAAAUGAUUCUGGAAAAGUAUACCAAGGCCCUGCGAAAGGUUCUGCUGAUACAGCCAUCAUAUUUUCAGAUGAAGAUUUCAUGGACAUAGUACUGGGCAAACUUGACACUCAGAAGGCAUUCUUCAGUGGCCAACUGAAGGCCAGAGGCAACAUCAUGCUGAGUCAGAAACUUCAGAUGAUCCUUAAAGACUAUGCCAAGCUCUGAAGGGCACACUACACUACUAAUAAAAAUAGAAUGAUUAAAUACUGUCUCCACCCAGAUAUGCUUGAUUAUUCUGCAAAAGUGAUCAAAACUAAGAUGCAAGGAAAUUUACUUAACAUUUUCAGAUUUCAGAUAACUUUUCAGAUUUUCAUUUUCUACUCAUUUGUCGUGUAUCAUUAUUUUUACAAGAAAUUAUAUAUAUAAGCUAGCACACAAUUAUUGUUCUGCUCUUAGAUCUAUAUCUUCAUAAUAAAAAAUUUCAUCCCC